rnacentral:rRNA from 1 species
UACGAGGGGGGCGAGCGUUGUUCGGAAUUAUUGGGCGUAAAGGGUGCGUAGGCGGUUUGGUAAGUCUUAUGUGAAAUCUACAGGCUCAACUUGUAGUCUGCAUGAGAAACUGCCGGGCUUGAGUAUGGGAGAGGUGAGUGGAAUUCCCGGUGUAGUGGUGAAAUGCGCAGAUAUCAGGAGGAACACCGGUGGCGAAGGCGGGUCUCUAGGCCGACACUGACGCUGAGGAGCGAAAGCGUGGGGAGCGAACAGG